UACGUAGGGGGCAAGCGUUUGUCCGGAUUCAUUGGGCGUAAAGAGCGUGUAGGCGGCCAGGUAGGUCGGUUGUGAAAACUGGAGGCUCAACCUUCAGAGGUCGACCGAAACCAUCUGGCUAGAGUCCGGGAGAGGAGAGUGGAAUUCCUGGUGUAGCGGUGGAAUGCGCAGAGUAUCAGGAGGAACACCAAUAGCGAAGGCAGCUCGCUGGGACGGUACUGACGCUAAGGCGCGAAAGCGUGGGGAGCGAACAGG
rnacentral:rRNA from 1 species